rnacentral:rRNA from 1 species
GACGAACGCUGGCGGCGUGGAUUAGGCAUGCAAGUCGAACGGUAUCAUCCUUUCGGGGGUGAGAGAGUGGCGAACUGGUGAGUAACACGUAGGUUAUCUACCCUCAAGACGGGGACAACCCAGGGAAACUUGGGCUAAUACCGGAUGUGAGCAACUUUUAGUUGUUUGAAAGGUGGCGUAAGCUGUCGCUUGGGGAUGAGCCUGCGUCCUAUUAGUUAGUUGGUGAGGUAACGGCUCACCUAGGCAAUGAUAGGUAGGCGGCCUUAACGGGUGGUCGCCCACACUGGGAUUGAGAUACGGCCCAGACUCCUACGGGAGGCAGCAGUCGAGAAUAGUCUACAAUGGUCGGAAGACUGAUAGUGCGACGCCGCGUGAACGAUGAAUCCCUUCGGGGUGUAAACCUCUGUCAUGGGGGAAAAGGAAGUGACGGUACCCAAGAGGAAGCCCUGCUAACUACGUG